GUGGGGAAUAUUGGACAAUGGGCGCAAGCCUGAUCCAGCCAUGCCGCGUGAGUGAUGAAGGCCUUAGGGUUGUAAAGCUCUUUUGUCCGGGAAGAUAAUGACUGUACCGGAAGAAUAAGCCCCGGCUAACUUCGUGCCAGCAGCCGCGGUAAUACGAAGGGGGCUAGCGUUGUUCGGAAUCACUGGGCGUAAAGCGCACGUAGGCGGACCAUUAAGUCAGGGGUGAAAGCCUGGAGCUCAACUCCAGAACUGCCUUUGAUACUGAUGGUCUCGAGUAUGGAAGAGGUUGGUGGAACUGCGAGUGUAGAGGUGAAAUUCGUAGAUAUUCGGAGGAACACCAGUGGCGAAGGCGGCUCACUGGCUCGAUACUGACGCUGAGGUGCGAAAGCGUGGGGAGCAAACAGGAUUAGAUACCCUAGUAGUCC
rnacentral:rRNA from 1 species